UACAGAGACUGCAAGCGUUAUUCGGAUUCACUGGGCGUAAAGGGUGCGCAGGUGGCCAAGUGUGUUAGGCGUGAAAGCCCGGGGCUUAACCCCGGAAUUGCACCUAAAACUACCUGGCUAGAGCAUUGGAGAGGGGAGCAGAAUUCACGGUGUAGCAGUGAAAUGCGUAGAUAUCGUGAGGAAUACCAGAGGCGAAGGGCGGCUCCCUGGACAAUUGCUGACACUCAGGCACGAAAGCGUGGGGAGCAAAAGGG
rnacentral:rRNA from 1 species